AGAGUUUGAUCCUGGCUCAGAGUCAACGCUGGCGGCGUGCCUAACACAUGCAAGUCGCACGAGAAAGGGGAGCAAUCCCUGAGUAAAGUGGCGCACGGGUGAGUAACACGUGAAUCAUCUACCUCCGAGUGGGGAAUAACCUAGAGAAAUCUGGGCUAAUACCGCAUAACACUUAUGAGUCAAAGCAGCAAUGUGCUUGGAGAGGAGUUCGCGGCCGAUUAGCUAGUUGGCGGGGUAAUGGCCCACCAAGGCGAUGAUCGGUAUCCGGCCUGAGAGGGCGCACGGACACACUGGAACUGAAACACGGUCCAGACUCCUACGGGAGGCAGCAGUGGGGAAUUUUGCGCAAUGGGGGAAACCCUGACGCAGCAACGCCGCGUGGAGGAUGAAAUAUCUUGGUAUGUAAACUCCUUUCGAUGGGGAAGAUUAUGACGGUACCCAUAGAAGAAGCCCCGGCUAACUUCGUGCCAGCAGCCGCGGUAAUACGAGGGGGGCAAGCGUUGUUCGGAUUUAUUGGGCGUAAAGGGUGCGUAGACGGUUUGGCAAGUCUUAUGUGAAAUCUUCGGGCUCAACCCGAAGCCUGCAUAAGAAACUGCCGGGCUUGAGUAUGGGAGAGGUGAGUGGAAUUUCCGGUGUAGCGGUGAAAUGCGUAGAUAUCGGAAGGAACACCUGUGGGGAAAGCGGCUCACUGGACCAUAACUGACGCUGAUGCACGAAAGCUAGGGGAGCAAACAGGAUUAGAUACCCUGGUAGUCCUAGCCCUAAACGAUGAUUGCUUGAUGUGGCAGUACCCAAUCCUGCCGUGUCGAAGCUAACGCGAUAAGCAAUCCGCCUGGGGAGUACGGUCGCAAGGCUGAACUCAAAGGAUUGACGGGGGCCCGCACAAGCGGUGGAGCAU
rnacentral:rRNA from 1 species